GCGAACUACUCAGUAACACGUGGUCAAGCUGCCCUACGGACUCGGAUCCUCGGGAAACUGAGGCUAAUCCUUGAUAGGGCUCCCAUCCUGGAACUGGAGGGAGCCUGAAACGGUCCGCCGCUGUAGGAUGCGACUGCGGCCGAUUAGGUAGACGGUGGGGUAACGGCCCACCGUGCCGAUAAUCGGUACGGGUCAUGAGAGUGAGAGCCCGGAGACGGACUCUGAGACACGAGUCCGGGCCCUACGGGGCGCAGCAGGCGCGAAACCUUUACACUGCACGCCAGUGCGAUAAGGGGACACCGAGUGCGGGGGCAUAGAGCCCUCGCUUUUCUGAACCGUAGGGAGGUUCAGGAACAAGGGCUGGGCAAGACCGGUGCCAGCCGCCGCGGUAACACCGGCAGCCCAAGUGAUGGCCGAUUUUAUUGGGCCUAAAGCGUCCGUAGCUGGCCGUGCAAGUCCGUCGGGAAAUCCACUCGCUUAACGAGUGGGCGUCCGGCGGAAACUGCUCGGCUUGGGACCGGAAGACCUGAAGGGUACGUCUGGGGUAGGAGUGAAAUCCUGUAAUCCUGGACGGACCACCGAUGGCGAAAGCACUUCAGGAGGACGGAUCCGACAGUGAGGGACGAAAGCUAGGGUCUCGAACCGGAUUAGAUACCCGGGUAGUCCUAGCCGUAAACGAUGCUCGCUAGGUGUGGCACAGGCUACGAGCCUGUGCUGUGCCGUAGGGAAGCCGUGAAGCGAGCCGCCUGGGAAGUACGUCCGCAAGGAUGAAACUUAA
rnacentral:rRNA from 1 species